rnacentral:lncRNA from 1 species
GUAGGUUUAUUAUAGGAAUAUGGUGUGCACUUAUAUGAAAUUUGUCUCCCUUGGUAGAUCGGGAUAUUAGUUCUAUGUGAUUUAUGGGACCGAGUUUAGAAGAUCUUGGUUAGGACAGAGUUAAUAGUGAAAAAGGAUUUCCGAUAUUAGAAACUCGAGUCAAAUAAAUUUGACAUAUGAUAGACGAUGAGCUUUGACGAGUUAUGUCACGCCCCGGGGUCCCAUUUUGGUUUAAAAGUAAAGCGGAAGUGCCCAAUUUUUUUUUUUUUUAAAACCUGACCCCCAGGAUAUGCCAGAUUCACCACAAAUACAGGGAGUCCACUGUUCACACCGACAGAGUCUCCCCUAUAUUUGCACGACGUCACACAAAUACAAGAUACAUAAACGGAUACAACCACCACAACUGAAUAUACAAACAUUCAAACAUUCGUAUAUUCGUACAUUCAUAUACCAUUCACCAACAUAUUCACAUUCAGAGUUUAUUCAGAAAUCCAUAACUAUUAAUUUAAAAUGUUUCCUACCCGGAAACUCAUUUUGAAAUACUAAGUUAUGAACACCACGAGAAAACCUUUUAAAAAUUAUUUCCCACACGGAAACCUUUUCUCUUUAAAAUCCACUACCGUAAGGGGUAGAAAAUCAUUUUCAUUUCAUAAGAAUCCACAUAUUCU